GGAUGGCAUUAAAAAUAAAAAUAGAAAUAAAGAGGGCUGCUGUUAGCAGGGGAGGGGGAGAGCGUUUUCGAGAAACAAGAGAGAAGACCAGAGGGAGCGAAACUCACCCAACCUCGUUCUUCUUCUUCAAUUAUUUUUCUCUCCUUUUCUCUUUAGAACCAAAAACCCUUUUUAUGCCAGUUCUUCUUCUUCUUCAUUUUUGUUUUUCCUCUUUUUCGGACCAAACCCUAGAACCGUGAGCAAUGAGGAUUGGAGGCUGCCAAGGGUAGAUUUAUUGUACGAAUUGGUGAGUUGAGAGAUAGCCGUGAGGACUUCGUAUCAAGUUCAAAUACAACACCAUAGCAGUUGUUACUGCACCGCUGUCUCCAGCCACCAUCGUGGAGCAUCCAUCACCAGCCACCACUGUGACGCCAUAAAACCAAUGCCAUCCAGGUUGGUCCUCCGUUUCCUUUCCUCACAAGUAAUCAUUAAAAGAACAAAACUAGACAGCUCCAUAAGGAAUAAAACGCCCUAAGUAUCUGUUUGUAAUCUUGUAUAUAAUUCAGUAAGAGACAAACGAAAAACCACCAAACAAACAAAACACAUUGUGCUUUGUUACACUUAAUUUUGCUUGGCAACCAAUUUGAUUUGCUUCCAGAAGAAUUGCUCCACAAUGCACGUCCAGUUUUCUCUCACAAAUUUCUUAUCAAAGUGACCUUAUUACGGAUAUGCUGAUUUGCAGGUUUAAUGCACAUGGGCGGGUAGUAAUGUGAGUUCUGAUUUUGGAUUCAGUUCUCGAUUAGGCACAUCUUUCUUGUCAAGAAAACCAUGCAAGGAUUAACAACUUUUCUGGGUAUGACUUAUUCUCUUGCAUAUACAUUGAAGAGUCCACUUUGGCCAUUAUGUCCUCUCUGUAGAAAAUAAACGUGAUACACACUAUGAUAGGACUUUUCAAUUCACUGUGGUAAUUUUUAUUGAAUCUUGAUAACCUUUAAAUAAGUGCAAAUAGGACUUUGGGCCAAGUACAAAGAAUAAAAACUAAAAACAAAAUAUAACUGACUCAAACUAAAAACAACUACUUAAUUUAUCUCUAUCUUAUAUCAACUAAAUAAAAUAAUAAUGUACCUAAAUAAAUGAAAAAUCAAAACUACCAAUCCCUAUUUUAUCUUUAUCAAAAUCAAACUAAAUAUUACUAGACCAAACUAAUAAAAUAAGACUCAAACAAAAUUACUAAUAAACCCUUAAAAUAUAAGUUUAGCCAACAAAACUCCCUUGUAAACUUAAAUUUUCCAUCCUUCAUCUUUGCACCUUGGUUUUCCAGGUGCAUCAUCCCACAUCAGGUUUGCUUCUUCGAUUAAGAAAUUGGAUUCUUCAUUUUUUUUCUUGUUGGCAGUGUUGUCUUUCACCUUAACUGAAGUCUUUAAUGUUUUGACGAUCUGGUUCUUUAGGUGACUUCUCAACCAUCUUGACCGACCUUUCAGCAACAUUGCUUGACUUCUUCACCUUGUUCGAAAUUUUACUCAUAAGAUUUUUUGCUUUCUCAGCAUAUGAGAUUCUCAUACCUGGAUUCUUUUCAACAUCUUCAUCUUCUUUCCCGUUUUUGUUUGGUUCAAGAACACUAGAUGCUUCAUCCUCUUUGUCUUUCACCGCCUUCAUCUCUUCAAGCUCAACCCUCUGUGUAUUCAUAAUCUCAUUAGCUUCAUCCAAAAGCCUCCCCAUCUGCUGAAUGUCUUCAUCUUUUCGUUUGAGUUUCUUGUCCAAGUUUUUCUUCUCUAUGUUUGUCGCACCAUUUACCAAGCUCACUUCAUCCAUUGUUGGGAAUGAGCUCUCCUCCAUUUCCGAGCACUUCAUUAGCAUUGCUAAGUUCUUUAACAACUUGGCGCUUAAUCGAUCGACCUUCACCUCUUGGCUCUUGACAACCCGGUUUUCUAUUUCUCGGCUCUAAAUACCUAGUCUCCUGCUGUUCGACCUCAAACAACUCAGUCUGAAUUUACUCGGCAUCAAGGUUCUUGGUCUCCUGUUGCACUACUCAGAGUUUUCAGAAAACAACAAAAUCCCCAUUACUUCUUCAUCUUCUUCUGAAAGAAGGUUUCUCUCACUUUUCUUCUCAAUUCAAUAUAAUUUAGCAAUGUGAUCGGGCUUACCAUAGUUGUAGCACUUCCUCGAUCUACACUUGUUUGCAUAGUGGUCAUGCUUGCCACACUUAAAAGACUCCACUUCUAAUUGAUCUCCUUGGCUUUUCCCCUGUCCUCGACCGUGUUAACACAUUAGCAAGUGUACCAAAUCGUAUCAAGUAAUAUAAAAUUAGUAAAACCAAGUAUCGUUUUCCAAGAGACUCAUGUUUACUUCACAAUUGUGUAAUACCUUAAUUAAUCAAGACUUAAAAAAUAUUUUGUUGGUGUUUAUAUGCAAAUGCAACAAAAGUAAAUAUGAAUGCAAAUUGAUCAAUUGAGGCUUAACACAAGAAUGAAUGGAUGAAGUUGAUAAUAUGAGAUGAUGAUGUUGUUGGGGUUAGAUUUCACCUACUUCACUUUCAUGCAUAUUAGAAUUCAUCUUCUUUAUUGGAAUGUUAAUGUCACUUUCUGAAUUACUUAGAAUCCGAUGUCUCGGCGUAAAAAGCCUAGUCUUGAUUAUUAGAUAACAAUCCCUUGAAAACUCUAACAAAUCAAUUCUGCAUUAAGAAAAGAAGCUUAAGACAACCAAACGUCCUAUCCCUAUCUCUAGGCAAUAUUCCAUUUGGAUGAAAUCCUCUAGAUCAUGAUUCAUAAGAUAUUUCUCAAUACUCAAAUAAAUCAAACAUCAUGAGUGACCAAAACAGAACAAGCAUUAAGAACAAGAGAAAAUCACCAACAUUCAAUGAAAGAAGCAUAAAAUGUUUAAACCAUAUUAAAAUACAUGAAAGUUUAGAGGUUACAUCAUCCCCAACAACAAAUAAGUUUAGUUCUCCAUUGUCAUGGAGAACCUUGGCUUACAAUGGAAGAAUGAAUGAAUGAAAACCUUAGAAAGUGAGAAGGAAAGCUCCAGCAUGCCCAAUCUCCCUCUAAAGGGUCGAAAUUAGCUUUUCUGUGCUUCAGCCGUCCAAAGAUGUGAACCCUAGAGUAUAGAAACCCUUAAAUAGAACCAAAUUGGAUGAUGGGCCAAUGUUGCUGGCACUCAGCGCCCCAACUAAGGGCGCCCAAGUGUGACUGCAAAGAGACUGGCCGUCAGCGUCCUGACUAAGGGCUUCCUGGCGUCCUACGGUGUGACUUGUUGGCGCUCAGCGCCCCUAGAGGGGCGCCCAAGCGUGACUGCGAGGAUAGUGGCGCUCAACGCUCCAAAUGGGGGCAGCCAGGUACCCUUGCGAGACUUGUGACGCUGAGGGCCCCUAAAAAGGGCAACCAGGUGUCGUACGGUCCUUCUUCAACCUUCUUCCAGCCUUCUUUCCCAAUGCUUAUGUUGUCCCUCCUGGGUUCCAACUCCUUGAUACUUUUGCUCCUCUUCCAAUCAUACCAAUAACCUACAAAAUUGAGGGAAUUAGUGAUCAAAUUCAUAAAAUAUAACCUCUCUUCACUUAUUCACCAAAUUCAACUAAAACAAGCUUCCUUUGUUGAUGCAACAUUCGCUAUUUUUUUGAAUCUCGACUCAUCUCCUGUGUUGUAGAGAAAAUACAAUGCUAACCCAUCUCUUGCACGUAUUUUCUUCAACACUGUCAUCUAUCCCUCGUCUGAUGUUCAUCCUCAUCGGGUUCAUUGUACAUGUCUUCCACCAUAUUCCAAAUGUCUUGUGAUCUCAGCAACACCUUCAUCUGUAGGCACCAAUUAUCAUAAUUGGUCUUUUUUGUCAGUUGUGACACACUCAUUUCAUUGACAACGUUUGUCAUCUUCCUCACAAAACACUCAAGUACUCACUAUUUCCCUCACGAUGUUUGACUCUCCUCUCUCUUUUUUUCCCUUCUCGGUACUUUGAGCAUAAAGCUCUAAUACCACUUUGUAGAAAAUAAACAUGACACCCUUCAAUUCACUGUGAUAAUUAUCAUUGAACCUUACAACUUUAAAAUAGGUGCAAAUAGGGUCUUAGGUCAAGUAUAAAAAAUAAAAACUAAAAACUAAUAACAAAAGACUCAAAAUAAAAACAACUACUUAAUCUAUCUCUAUCUUAUAUAAGCCAAAUUAAAUGACUCAAAAUAAAAACAACUACUUAAUCUAUAUCUAUCUUAUAUCAACCAAAUAAAAUAAUACUGCAUCUUUAUUUAGAUGGAAAAUCAAAAAUAUCAAUUCUUAUUUUAUCUUUAUCAAAAUCAAACUAAAUAUUACUAUAUCCAAACUAAUAAAAUAAGACUCAAACAAAAUUACUAAUAAACUCCUAAAAUUUAAGUUUAACCCAACAUUCUUUGGUAACUAUGACCUCCUCUUGCACGAGGUAUUACUAUUGUUGAAGUUUCAAUCACUAAAGCUAAAUUUUCAUCUUUAACCUUGGUAGGCACACAAAGAAGUCUAGUGACUAGCCGUUCAUUCAAGGAACUUGAUCACCAACUAGAAUAUGGUCACAUACAUAAUUAAAAUUUAAAUGCAAACUUCUUAGAACCAGGGUGUUUUUG